GACGUAGGGAGCAAGCGUUGUUCGGAUUUACUGGGCGUAAAGGGCGCGUAGGCGGCGCGGUAAGUCACUUGUGAAAUCUCUGAGCUUAACUCAGAACGGCCAAGUGAUACUGCAGUGCUAGAGUGCAGAAGGGGCAAUCGGAAUUCUUGGUGUAGCGGUGAAAUGCGUAGAUAUCAAGAGGAACACCUGAGGUGAAGACGGGUUGCUGGGCUGACACUGACGCUGAGGCGCGAAAGCCAGGGGAGCAAACGGG
rnacentral:rRNA from 1 species